AGAACUCCCUCCACCCAUAGGAAAGGCUUGCUAUCAAAUUUGCCCACCUAGAUUCAGUAAAGAUGGGCAUAGGUGUGUUCGUACUUGAUACGUUUAGAUGAGUGGGUACUGAAAAUAUGGAAUGACAUUCAUCAGCUGUUAUAAUUAGAAGGAUAUACACUUCAGGCCCAACAUUAAAGCAGCUUCAAAACCAUUAUAUAUGUGUGAAAACUGAAAAUAGUAUUACAUUUCAGCUAUAAUGUAUCUUACAAUAAUGCACCCUGUACCAUACCUAAUGCACCACCCAAUUUUGAACUUUACCCUUCACUUCUAGGACGUCAGUUUCUGUUCUUCUCCAUUUUCCUGAUGCCAACUUUUGUAGUGGCUGAGAUUGUUUUUAGUUACAGAAUUUGACCAGAUUCUGGGAAUUGCUCCCUGUGAAAUCCCUGGCGGCAACGCCUGUACCGAAAUAAUAUCUAGAUGUGCUCCCUGCCACCAUUGGUAAUGAACCAAAUGAUCAAUAUGAUCGCCACCUAUGAUGAGUAUGAUGGCUGAACUGUACGUCACGAUGAUCAGAUCGUUUCUCCACUACAACAAGACAGAUUACAGAAGAUGGCAGCGAAAGGGUGCAGCGGUUUGGAGUCUACAAGCCAG